rnacentral:rRNA from 1 species
GAUGAACGCUGGCGGCGUGCUUAAUACAUGCAAGUCGAACGGAAAGGCCCUGCUUUUGUGUGUUGCUCGUGUGGGGAACGGGUGAGUAUCACGUGAGUAUAAUGCACUUGUCUUUGUGAUAACUUUUGGAAACUGCGGCUAUUACAGGAUAGGAUCUCCUGCUGCGUGUUGGUGGUUGGAGAGUUUCGGCGGUGGGGGAUGGACUAGCGGCUUAUCAGCUUGUUGGUGGGGUAGUGGCUGACCAGGGGUUCGACGGGUAGCCGGCAUGAGAGGGUGACCGGGCACAUUGGGACUGCGAGACGGCCCAGACUCCUACGGGACGCAGCAGUGGGGAGUCUUGCACAACGGGCGCGCGUGUGAUGCAGCAGCGCUCGGUGCGGGAUGCCGGCCUUUGGGGGGUAAACAGAUGUCGCAUGUGACGAGGCGUGAGUGACGGUAACUGAUAAAGAAGCACCGGCUAACUACGUG